CAUACAUCCUCAAGUACUCACACUUAUUGUCUGAUAUCUGGUAAUGAUUUCUUUAGCUUAAUGCUGCGUUGUUUAUCGCAACGAAAACGCUCACAUACUUAAUGUAUGCUCGCGCUCUUCGCUGCUCAAACGCCUUGCCUUAAGCGUAAAUAAAUCAUCACUCGAGUUCAUCAUGAGCUCCGAGUAAGCCAACACUUCAAGCAUUUACUAAGUGCUUUAAGUAUUGGUUUUUAUACCAAGUUCUUUAAAAACGUAAUGACAAAGCUGAAUUAAUUCAAAUGAACUGAGAUAUUGUUUAAUCAAGCAACUAUCCGGUGUAUCGAAUUACUUCAUGUUAGAUUGCAAAAGAAUCUCAACACAUACUUAGGUAUGAGUUGGAGAACAGCAUCAGCAACUUAUUCUCGACGAAAGUCAGUCUAAGUUGGGAUUGAAACUUAGUUUCAAUCAAAGGUUUAUGAGUUUGACUAUAUGGUCAAGCGAAUAAGCGCAUACGGUGGAUGCCUUGGC
rnacentral:misc_RNA from 1 species